UUUAACAUAGGUGAAUAAUAUCAAUCAUAUUUUCUCCCGUGUAUUCUCACAACCUUGUUUUGCAACUUUUUAGCUUGAGAUCUUGUUAAAUGCCCUGUUUGAGAUUCCAAAGCUUCAUCUUUGUCCUUGAAUAGAUUUGAGCUUCCUAGGAUGCUAUCAUUCUGAACCUCAACUUCCAAUGAAUCACUGUGGACUUUCUAGGAUUUGAACCCAGAACAGUAGCCUGGUGGUCCCGGGAAGGGUCGGACCCCAAGGGGUGUAGUGUGGGCAGCCUACCUACCCCUGAGUCGCUAAUUUCACGGCUCGAACCGUGGCCUAUAGGUCACCCGGAGACAACUUUACUGUUGCUCCACUGCUCCCCUUCGAUUCAAACCCAAAACCUCAGAUGAAAAUCCAGUUCCUUUUAGCUCAACAGAAUGAGGGAAUUGGAGAAAGUUGGGGAAUGUUUUAGGGUGAUUGACCAUCUCCGGCAUGCCUAUGAUUUCUUCUUUGCUCAAACCAACAGCUCGUUUUGCAUAGGUUGUUGCAGUCUACAGCAAAAUGGAACUCCAGCCCAGUAUGAAGAAUGAGACCAACAGGGAGUUAAAGGAAUUUCAUGGAGGGUGGUUGCCCUCUCUGCGUGGCCUAUAAUUCUCCAUCUACCAAAGCAACAACCCUCUUCAGAAGAAGAAAUCAGGCAAAUAUUGUUGAUAGCAGUGGUACUAUCUCUUUUGAGCUUAAGACAAUUUUUUGGUCCAAAACAUCCCCCGAUCUGAAGGUUCUGUUUGUUUGAUGAGGACUUUUGAACUUGUGCUAAGGCCUACUAGAACUAUGGAAAAGUUCCCAUUUUUCGAAAGAGGCAGUGAUGAUAUUGCUAGUCUAUGCUGAAAUUUGGGGCAUGGAGAAAAUCUGACCUGUAUCUUGGCAUGGCAAACCCGACUGGUUUGUGAUUGUGGCUUCCUUCACAUGCAACCGGUUCUUUGCAGCCAUGGCGUGAUCACCUUCUCUUUGCCCCAUUUUAUACAUAUCUGAGCCUCAAAUUCCAAGCAGUCCAUCAGGAUGUUUCAGGACUCGAACCCAGGACCUCUUCGGGGUGGAAACCCAUGUCAUUUUCUUCUUAACAUCAUCUCAAAGUUGGAGGCAUCGGAGAGAAAUGGAGAAGAAUUGGGGAAAAAGACCCCGCAAGUCUGCACUUCAAAAAAUAACCCUCUAUUUUCUUUUCUAGUUAUUUUACCAAGAAUAUCCUGUUGGCAUUCUUAAAACCAUGUUAUAUAUAUCGAGAGAAAUAUGGUAUAUGUGUGUAAAAGAUAGAUCUUUUAUAGAUACCCAGAUUGUCAUUGUUGUUGUUGUUGCUACGGAAUUUCUUCUGUUUCUCCUAUUCGUGCUGCUAUUUGGCUGUUUUAUGAACCAAACAGCAAGAAAUCAUUGUAAGAACAGGGAGAAUUUAAUGAUGUGAUGAUAAUGUUACGUGGCGGCCCUUUGAGAAAAAGAAUGAGACAUCAGAGAGAGAUGGGAUUUUCUGUAAAGGGUGGUUGCCCCUCUCUGCUGUAUCCAUGAAUUCUCCAUUCAUAAAAUACCAACAACCUUUUCAUGAGAAAAAAAGAAGGAAAAAGAAAAGAAAAGGGACUAUAGGGGUGUUUGGAUUGGCUUAUAGCUCUUUUCUGCUGCUACAACAGCUGAUUUGCACAAAUAGCAAUUUUUUGACCCCUUGUUUUUGGAACAAGGUAGAAAUGACACACAAGGUAGCCACUUUUAAUACUGGGCUAUGAUGAUUUUCUUCUUUCUUUUUGGGCUAUCACCUUCGCUAGCUUUGAGAAAAUCUGACCCGUAUCUUGGCGGGGCGACCCGGUAUGGCAUCAUCUGCAAACCGGUGUCUGCAGCCAUGGCGUGGUCCGUUUCUCUUUGCAGUUUCAUAAAAAAGAAGAAUCUGAGCCCUAAAAGUUUUAUGACAACCAUUUGAUGGUCUUGAAUGGAUGGUCGUUCUCUGAACCGGAAAACAUUGUUGGGUUCUUCAGUUUUUUCUUGAACACCCAAUUAUCAGAUGCAGUUCUCCAUCUAAUUUUUAGCUAAAAAAUGAGGCAAUUGGAGAAAUAUGGUGAUUUCAGGGUGAUUGACCUUCUCCACAUGCCAAGGAUUUCUAUGUUGCUCCAAAGGAAUAGCCCUUUCUGAGUAUGCAUACAUCUGUCUCUCUAUUUGUUAAUACUUGUUAAUACUGUGCUCCUGCAUGGUUGCCUUUUCAAGCAAAGCUGCAAAAAGACAUAGAAAAGGAGGGUUAUUUUCUUGACUACAGGCUUCCAUUAGAUUCUCUUAUAAUAGAGUGUUUUACUACACAAAAAUGGAAGUUCAGCCCAGUAAGAAGAAUGAUGCCACCAGAG